rfam:Triticum aestivum genome assembly, contig: Triticum_aestivum_CS42_TGACv1_scaffold_543978_6DS
CAUCUACUCCCUCGGUCCCAAAUUUUUGUCUUAAAUUUGUCUAAAUACGGAUGUAUCAAGUCAUGUUUUAGUAUUAGAUACAUCCGUAUCUAGACUAAUUUAAGACAAGAAUUUUGGGACGGGGUGAGUAUGAU